UCACGUUCAUUUUCACUUUCACUCUAACUAAUACCCUAAAAAAAAUGUAAAGUACUGCAUGUAUUGUUUAUUUCUUCGUGAAACCUCCAUAGUAUAACCUUCAGUCGCUGACUGUUUGCCGCGCCGCCGCACCACCGCUCCACCGAUCCACCGCCGCACAACUUCUGAGCACCUCACCACUCCAUUGAGGGUGCUCUGCUUCAGGAGAACGCCUGGUUUUGGCUGCUAGAGAUGGUGAUUUAUAGGAAGCCAAAGCGUUGUUGGAGUACAAUCCUCGUCUUGUGAGGUAUUCAACUUUUGGUGUUAGGAACUCCCCUUUGCAUUACUCUGCAGCUCAGGGCCACCAUGAGACUGCUCUGAUGCAAGCAUGUCAGCAUGGCCAUUGAGAGGUUGUACAGACUCUGGUUCUUUUCAAACAAUAUUCACAGAGCAGAUUAUCUUAAUGGGGGUACUGCUCUUCAUCUCUAGCUGCUUUGAAUGGGCAUACUCGGUGUAUUAGGCUCCUUCUUGCUGAUUAUAUCCCUAGCAUUUCUGUCACUUGGAAUCUAUUACAAAAGAAAUCAAAAAAUGAAUAUGGAAGCUCAGAGUUUAAUGCAAGUGCCCUCCGCCAAAGUAAUUAACAAACCUGCAGAUGGAGGGAUCACAACACUUCAUAUGGCUGCCUUGAAUGGGCAUUUUGAAACUGUCCAUCUUCUUUUGGAUCUUGGAGCUUUUGUUAGUGAAAUAACUGUGGAAGAUGGGACUACAAUUGAUCUCAUAGUAUUCAAAAAAAAAAAAGCAAGUUCUUCAUACAUAUUCUCAACAAAUGAUCGACUAGCUUAGGGAAAAGUGGAUUUCAUAUGUUACCGGAUACCAUCAACCAAAUGACGACGACGAUGAUUUAUGUGAAUUGUAGAUCAAUAUGGUAUUGAUAUAUCUAAGCAUAAUUUUUUUUAAAUCAACAUUAACUAUAAAGGUGUUUUGAUAUUUAAAUCACGUAUUUGUUUGUAUAGAACAAAUUUUGUAUGAAUGAUUCAAUUUAAUUGUGGUUGAAUGUUUUAAAUUAUAUAUAUGAAGUAGGUUUUGAUGGCUUUUGUUGUAUCUGAAAAUAUUUUUGUUAAU